CAACCCUUUCAUACUCAUUUUGUCACGACCCUAACCGAUGAGCCGCGACGUAAACCCGAUACCUUACUCAACCGAGUACCAUCAUAACGUAUCUUUCAUGUUAUACUUUCAUAGAUAACUGAGCCAGAAGGUUGUAGUGGGAUAAGUAGAAUACAACAUAUGAUACCAACUUAUACAUAAGACAUACAGGCCUAUAAGACAAAAAUAAUCACUCGUAUACUGAACAUAGGCCGACAAGGCCAUACAAUCGUUUACGUACAUGAUAUCUGUCUACAAGCCUCUAAGAAUACAUAAUUUUCAUAAAGGUCAGGACAGAUUCCCGCCAUACCAAACAAUACACGUCUAAAUCAUACUAACCCAACAAGCAAUUCCGAAGAAAAUGGAGCGCACCAACAUCUUUCGUUGAGCUGAUAGCUUACUUGAAGGGCUCUUGACCUGUCUAUCGGGACCUGCGGGCAUGAAACGCAGUGUCCCCAGGCAAAAGAGACGUCAGUACGAAUAAUGUGCCGAGUAUGUAAGGCACAUAAAUAAGUACAUAACAGACAUGGAAGAAAUAUAGAGUAAAUGACUCAACCUGUAAAUCUGGAUAACUCUGUAAAUCAUGAAAUAACUAUAGUGUCAUGCAUAUGCGUAUGAAUGUCAUGUCGUGUAUAGGUACAUAUUUCAUAACAUCAUCAGACCUCUGAGGGCAUCCCAUCAUAUCAUCUCGACCAUUGUGGGCAAAAUCAUCAACGUAUACCAGCUGAUUAGUUGGUGGUGCGUAUAUAAUUCCAUAAGCUUUUCCAUAUCUCAUAUACAUAUAUAUACAUAUAUAUACAUAUAUAUACAUAUAUAUAUAUAUAUAUAUAUAUAUAUAUAUACGUGUAUAUAACAUCAUCUUGUCAUGGAUCAAUGUGCAUGUAUAAAUGCAUGAAAUGCAUAUGAAAUACGUUAAUAAAAUCUCUCGGUACAUCAUAAGACCAUUAUGCCUCUAAUUGAUAUCAUGAAAUAAACUUUACCAACUUACGUAUUUUUGAGACUCAUGAACAGAUGAUAGAAUAAUAUGUCACAUGGGGAAUCAAGAACAUAGAGACCCCUAGUAUUUCUAUAAAUAGAGUCGUUUAUAAAAACUGUGUGUUUGCUCGUUUCUUCCAUAUUAUUUGGAUCAUGCCAAAAAGAAAGAAGGAAUAGCCUUAACAUACCUGGAGUAGGGAAAAAUCUGUAUGAUAUUCUUGGAAAAGAUUACACCGUACUCCUUUAGAACCGCAAAAUUUUACGUUGCUAACAAUUCUCGUUGAAUUUCUUUUGGUUGCAAGAAUUCAUGUUUUUGUUGAAACUUAAGAAUGGCGAACGUUAUGAUAGCUUUGCCAACAAAAAGAUACACCAAAUGAAGCAAAAAAAUGGUGAACCUUAUCAUAGCUUUUCCAAGAAUGAGAUACACCAAAUGAAGCAAAAAAAAGGUUACAAAUCUUCUAAGUAUGUGUUUGAAUGGGUGUGGGAUGACUUCUGGUGGUGGCUUAGCCACAU
rnacentral:lncRNA from 1 species